AUGUGGGACUUCAACUCAGCUUCUCCGUUGAGUCGGCUGUCUCCGGGACGCAGGCCCCGCGUGGUGGGGGAAGCGAAAGGGGCAGUGUGGGGAAGUGGCCAAGGGGUCGGGUCCGGGGUGGUCUGCAGAGAGGCAGGCGGCGGUGCCCAGCCGGGAACCACGCGCUCACCCGCGGAGUCGGACGGGCCCGGCGGGGGUGGGCGAGACACUGGGAACAGCGGCCAGCUCCAGAGGGGCGAGGCGGGGCGCGCGGGGAGGGAGGGGGGCGCGGCGAACGCGCGCGUGCGCGUCGCCGCUGCCGGCGCCCAAGCCGACCCCAGGGCCGACCCCCGCAAGGAGCUGAAGGAGGUGGGAGCCCCAGUCGCCGCGGGCGUCGGCGCCGUCAAAGAAGAUGGCCACGGAGAUAGCAGCGUGGUCAGAGUGGUGGGAGCUGGUCAUCGGCGAGAGCUGCUCCAUGUCUGGCUGCUGAGUGCUAGAGCCUGUGGCCCACUGGCUUGCCUCACUAUGGUUGGUGGUGGCGGUGACAGAGACUGCAGCACGACCAGAGUGGCUUUUCUGGCUUUGCCCACCCAGCUGCUCCAUGCCAGGAGGAGGAGGAGACACCUAGAGCCUGCGACACCACGACUUGCCUCACUGCGGCCCCCGCAUCACCCAACCAACCAGCAGAGAUCCUCAUUCCCAUGAAACAGAUAAAGAAACUGAGGCCCAGGGAGGCUAAGUCCUGCCAGGAUCAUUCACCUUCCAAGGUAAGGAGCCAUUUCCAGACCUGGGUUUGUGCAGCUCCAAGCUCCCCCGUCUUUCUACAAUGCUAGAUUUAGACUAUAGCAAUCUAGCAAGUGUGGCCACACAAUGGUCAAGUUGGAUUUAGAUGAUGUUCUCUAUAAAUCCAUUCUCCUCUCCCGUGUAAGCAAGGCAAAGUACUCUAGGCCAUGGGGAGUCCCUGAAGACUCGAUGAACUGCAGUGGCCACGUCAGGAGGUUGCAGGUUGACCAGAACUCACCGACACAGCAGGAGAGCAGCUUGGAACCUGCAACUCAGCCAAGACCCAGUGCCUUGGAUUGAGGGAGAAAACAUGCAGCCAUUCCUCUCUCUCUCUGUUGGCUAGAGGGGAUUCUGGCUUUUCCUGCCAGAGCCACCCCUUUCCCUCCUCCUAAAGUUGAUGGUGGUUCUUUAAGGAAAGGGAGAAGUGCACGGUGUGAUAGGGCAGGAAGAGAAGAAAACGGAGGAGAGGAGGGGACUUUCCCAUAAGCAGGCAGAAGAAAAGGCAGCUGUGGUGUGUGAUCGACAUGGAAGCAGUGGUGUCCAAUGUGGGGUCAGCCCUAGAGGAGAGACAGAGAGAGAGACAGAAAAGUGAGAGAGUCCUGACCCUUACGAUUAACAUGGGAUCUGCCUGCAAGUGCUGUUUAGGGCCAUCGCCUCUUCCUGUACUGCUAUUUUUGAGAGUGAUGCUCCUGAGCCCCAUGACCCAGUCAAAUUUGAUGUCCCCUUGAGCCAGAUUCAGUGCUGGGAGUCCAGUGUGAUCUGCCUGGAUCUUGCUGCAUUGAGAACAGGCCAGAUCUUGACACCAAUACAGGGGGCUGGAUAUGAACAGGCAACAGCUGGGUUUCUGAGUCAGAAAGACUUGGUUAAUUGCUAAUUGCUUAGGCGAGUAAUUCAAUUUUGUUCAGUCAGAUUCCUCAGCUAUAAAAUGCAGAUGACAGUACUUAUUCCUCCAGGUUGUGGGGAAAAUGGAGAUUCUGAGCACGAUGUCCAUUUCACAGAAAGGUACCAAUUUGGUGGCUUAUUUUCCUUUCUACCUUCAGAAGUGGCUAACCCUGCCACCCAAACAGACCCUUGACUCUCAAGUGGAUGGGGUCCCAUUUGCACAGGGGGAGAGCUUACAGCCUACGUUGAGUCUAUACUUACCACUUAGUGAGCAUGGUAUCCGCUCAGGGGCCUCUGUGGGCAUCCGUCUCCUCUGCGGCAUCUUUCCUCCCCACCGCUGGGCCUGCACAUGACCCCCUCCUUGGGUUAGGCCUCUGAUCAGUGAUGACCUUGGUAUGGUGGUGAUGGUCAGU